GCUGGGCCGGCCUGCUGAAUUAUUCACCCGUGUCUUUUGCGUACUUCUUGUUUCCUGGGUGGGCUCGCCCGCCAUCAGGACCAACCACAAACCUUUUGCAAUAGCAAUCAGCGUCAGUAACAACGUAAUUAAUUACAACUUUCAACAACGGAUCUCUUGGUUCUGGCAUCGAUGAAGAACGCAGCGAAAUGCGAUACGUAGUGUGAAUUGCAGAAUUCAGUGAAUCAUCGAAUCUUUGAACGCACAUUGCGCCCUUUGGUAUUCCAAAGGGCAUGCCUGUUCGAGCGUCAUUUGUACCCUCAAGCUUUGCUUGGUGUUGGGCGUCUUUUGUCUCCAGUUCGCUGGAGACUCGCCUUAAAGUCAUUGGCAGCCGGCCUACUGGUUUCGGAGCGCAGCACAAGUCGCGCUCUUUGCCAGCCAAGGUCAGCGUCCAGCAAGCCUUUUUUUUCAACCUUUGACCUCGGAUCAGGUAGGGAUACCCGCUGAACUUAAGCAUAUCAAUAAGCGGAGGA
rnacentral:rRNA from 1 species